rnacentral:rRNA from 1 species
UACAGAGGGGGCAAGCGUUAUUCGGAAUUAUUGGGCGUAAAGGGCGCGUAGGCGGCCGGGCAAGUGACGGGUGAAAGCCCUCGGCUCAACCGAGGAACUGCCUGUCAUACUGCCGGGCUUGAGUCCGGGAGAGGUGAGUGGAAUUCCCAGUGUAGCGGUGAAAUGCGUAGAUAUCGAGAGGAACACCGGUGGCGAAGGCGGCCUUCUGGACAAUGACUGACGCUGAGACGCGAAAGCGUGGGGAGCAAACAGG